AAAGUCGUAACAAGGUUUCCGUAGGUGAACCUGCGGAAGGAUCAUUAAUUGGCCUUGGGCCGCCUCGGGGGGCUCGUCGCCCGCGACGACGCUCCUCGGGUGCGCUUAGCCCUUGACACCGACCUUGACUAUGCGCACCAUCGUUGUUUCCUCGGCAGGUCUCCUGCCGACAGGAACCCCCAAACCCCCUGCAUCAGCAUCUCAAUCUGACAACCAACCAAUUAUUUACAACUUUUAACAAUGGAUCUCUUGGUUCUG
rnacentral:misc_RNA from 1 species